AACGAACGCUGGCGGCAGGCUUAACACAUGCAAGUCGAGCGCCCCGCAAGGGGAGCGGCAGACGGGUGAGUAACGAGUGGGAAUCUACCCAUCUCUACGGAAUAACGCAUGGAAACGUGUGCUAAUACCGUAUACGUCCUUCGGGAGAAAGAUUUAUCGGAGAAGGAUGAGCCCGCGUUGGAUUAGCUAGUUGGUGGGGUAAAGGCCUACCAAGGCGACGAUCCAUAGCUGGUCUGAGAGGAUGAUCAGCCACACUGGGACUGAGACAUGGCCCAGACUCCUACGGGAGGCAGCAGUGGGGAAUAUUGGACAAUGGGCGCAAGCCUGAUCCAGCCAUGCCGCGUGAGUGAUGAAGGCCCUAGGGUUGUAAAGCUCUUUCACCGGUGAAGAUAAUGACGGUAACCGGAGAAGAAGCCCCGGCUAACUUCGUGCCAGCCGCCGCAGUAAUAC
rnacentral:rRNA from 1 species